AUUGAACGCUGGCGGCAUGCCUUACACAUGCAAGUCGAACGGCAGCACGGGGCAACCUGGUGGCGAGUGGCGAACGGGUGAGUAAUGCAUCGGAACGUACCUUUCAGUGGGGGAUAACGUAGCGAAAGUUGCGCUAAUACCGCAUAUUCCGUGAGCAGGAAAGCAGGGGAUCGCAAGACCUUGCGCUGAUUGAGCGGCCGAUGUCAGAUUAGCUAGUUGGUGAGGUAAAGGCUCACCAAGGCGACGAUCUGUAGCGGGCCUGAGAGGAUGAUCCGCCACACUGGAACUGAGACACAGUCCAGACUCCUACGGGAGGCAGCAGUGGGGAAUUUUGGACAAUGGGGGCAACCCUGAUCCAGCCAUGCCGCGUGAGUGAAGAAGGCCUUCGGGUUGUAAAGCUCUUUCGGCCGGGAAGAAAUCGCACGGGCUAAUACCCUGUGUGGAUGACGGUACCGGAAUAAGAAGCACCGGCUAACUACGUGCCAGCCGCCGCUGUAAAAC
rnacentral:rRNA from 1 species